AUACUUUGUUAUCCUGGAAUUGUCUCCUGUCACAUACAUAGACUCAAGCGCCGUGGAAGCUAUUAAAAAAUUGUACGAGGAGUAUAAAACAAGAGACAUUCAGCUUGCGAUAUCGAACCCGAACAAAGAGGUUCUAUUGAUUCUGGCAAGAUCAGGCAUUGUGGAACUUAUUGGCAGAGAAUGGUUCUACGUGAGAGUACAUGAUGCAGUCCAAGUUU